rnacentral:rRNA from 1 species
AGGACGAACGCUGGCGGCGUGCCUAACACAUGCAAGUGGAGCGACGAACCGGGCUUCGGCCCGGGGCCAAGCCGCGAACGGGUGAGUAACACGUGGGUAACCUGCCCCGAUGACCGGGACAACCCGAGGAAACUCGGGCUAAUACCGGAUGUGCUCUCGUCACAUCAGCGGCGUCAGCAAAGGUAGCUUCGGCCUCCGCAUCGGGAUGGGCCCGCGGCCCAUUAGCUUGUUGGUGGGGUAAUGGCCUACCAAGGCUCCGACGGGUAGCUGGUCUGAGAGGACGAUCAGCCACACUGGGACUGAGACACGGCCAAGACUCCUACGGGAGGCAGCAGUGGGGAAUCUUGCGCAAUGGGCGAAAGCCUGACGCAGCAACGCCACGUGCGGGAUGAAGGCCCUCGGGUUGUAAACCGCUUUCAGCAGGAACGAAAUGACGGUACCUGCAGAAGAAGGUCCGGCCAACUACGUGCCAGCAGCCGC